UUUUUAUAAACUAACCAUAUUUAUUAUCUUCCUAUUUAAAAAUUGAGAAAAGAUUACAAGUAAUUUAAAGUAUUAUAUUAAAAAAUUAAAAAAAUUCAUUAACUAAAAAAAUAUAUGAAUAUUUUUCUUAAAAAACUAAUAAUUAUUGAUAAAAUAAUAGAAAAAAAUAUAAAUAAUCUUAUUAAGGUUAUGGUUGUAUUAGGCAAAGUCAAUGAUAAAAAAAAGUUUGUUUUUUCUUGUUAUAUCAAUACAAUAUUAUAGGAAGGGAUAGAGAUGACAAAAUAGGUUAAUGCUAGAGGGGGUAAGGAUGGUAUUGUACUCUUUAAGUGUAUAUAAGGAGGUCUAAUCUCUUUUUAUCUAUUUUCUAAAUUUAUAAUACAAAUUAAAUUAAAUGACACCAAAACCGAAUGGAUUAAUGAAAUUUAACAAAAUCAAAUUGCAAAAAGGGUUUCUAUACUAUAUACAAAGAAUUAGCAUAAAAUCAUGAGAAAAAUUUUCUUAUGUAACUUACCAAGUCCAAAUGCUAAAACUGUUCCUACAUUUUUUUUUCAAAAAUAAAGAAUAAAAAUAAAUAAAGCUAUCUUUGUUUUCUUGCAUAUGUAUGUAGUAUGUCAAAAGUUUCUACCUCUGCUUGAAGCCGCCAAGCAACGAGAAGAAAAGGGUAAUAUUUCAGUAAUAAACUGACUAAUCAGAAAAAGAAAGAAAAACUUUCAAUUGGCAUAUACUAACCCGCAACAAUCUGGAAAACAACCUUCAAGCAACAGGUAAAAGAGUAUCUGCAUUUAGGUAAAAGUGUAAUGUUAAAUUCUUGAGAAAAAACAGGAAGAAUGCUUGUAUGUAGAAAAAGAUCCUUAGAGACAUCACAGUUCACAUCUAGAGAAUAGAUUGAUAUGGACUCAAAACAUUAAAGUAGGAGGAUCUUAAACACCGGUAAAAUUCUAGGUACUCAAUUAUGAUCUAGUCAAAACAUUCUAAUUGAGUUCUCAAAGUAUUAAUAUUGUAUCAAUUAGGUACUUCCAUUAGUCUAGCCAUUAGCUUAGGUGUUACAUAACAGCUCAAAUAUGGCUUGGGAGUGUAUUUAAAAUACAUGAGACAAACUGUAAACAUGUGUAUCCGUUAUGUGAAUAUUUUAGAUCUGAUAUGUUAAAAAAAUAGUUUACCUAAAUUUUAAUAACACUAUUUUUUAAAACAUGUUAGAUCCAAGCUAUUAAUGCAAUACUUACAUGUGUUUAUAAUUAGAUUAACAUGUUUUAAAUAUAUUUCAUAUUAGAUCCGAACUAGUAUCUAAUGUCUAAAUUAACAACUAAGUAGACUGAAACACCUAAUUGAUAUAAUAUUGAUAGCUUGGAGUCUAGGUGGUAGCUUGGGACACAUUUAGUUAAAUUGAUCCUAAAUUAAAAUACCAAGAAAGCCCUGAAUUUAUAAAAUAUUGCAAUGAAGCCCCAUAUAUAUAAAAAGGCAACAAAUAUGAUAUUAUAAGAGAAAAAAAAGGUGUCGAUAAUUUACCUUUGAUGCAACUGCUAGUUCACAUCCAUGAGAUGACUUCAAAAAUGAAGCAGAUAACCCAGAAUAACGCAGUAUGAAGGCUACAAUAACUUCCAUUUGUCAGUGUAUGGAGACAAAUAUCCAAUCCACACUUCUCACAUUCAUAAGACCUGUUUAAUUAAUUGCAAAAGAUGUAGAGGCCGAAGCUGCCUCUGCUAUUAAUGAAAUUGGCUGGCGAGCCUGCAGGCAAGCAGCAAUAUCAAAGGGAUUCAACUCUGCACCGUCAAAAAUGAGGUUAAGACCGGGAAGGAUAACUUCACCGCUGUCAGUUUCAUCAAGAUCAACUCUGGGUGCAGUUGCUGCAGGGGAAUCUUCAACAGAUCUUGUGCCAGCUUCAUAUACUGGAGUUACGGCAAAUGAUCUGCAAAUUUAUUUCAUCGCUACUAGUAAAUAAACAUAACUGAAUACUACCAUGAGAAGCAAGUCUUAAGUGGAGGAAAAAGAAAAUAGGUAUAAUGAUUUCAAAGACCUAAGAAUGCUGGCAUCGAAGCUCAAAACUUCGGUCCGACUACGCUGUCGACAGGCAAGUUUGAAUCUUUGAUGCUCAUUAGAUGCUCCAGAAAUGGGAGAAGAAGGGUCUACCAGUGGAUUCCACUUUCCACUACUAGGAUAGUUGAUGUCAUGCUCUGAAUCCUUCGAACCAUCCUUUUGCAGCUCCUUUAGGUAAAGAAGUUUUGCUGCAGGACCUGUUGCUUGAUACUCUGCACAAAAAUCACGCAACUUUCUUUGCAUGUUUUGCAUUGAAUUAUGAUGCUCAGUAAGUGAAUCUACUUGAAGCAACUCUGAGGAGACAAUCCUUUCACAUAUGUUAUUGCAUAAUUUUGGGUUGAAAAGUGGCAUCCCAAAUUCAAUGGUCAGUGGAACCCAUUCAUACUUCCCAUUGGGGCCAAAAUUAUCCGAUUCCCUUUCUUUAAAAAGUUUUAGUAAGCGAAUGUAACCAAUUGUCCAUAACUCUAUCUUGUGAGCCAAAACAGUUAAUAGAUCAUUCAAUUUCAAACAUUCCCCUGCACAUAGUCCUAGCUUGUCCCCUACGGGAGCAACUGAGCCAUCAGAGUUCUUAAGGGGCAAGGGUAUGUCAACUGUAACAACUUUUCCAGAGCCAUCAAGAUCAUAUAUGCUAAAGGGCUGCACUAUAACAGCAGAGUGUUUGAGCAUCGAAUUCAAACAGUGUAAAAGUAUACUUCCCUUGACUAAAUUUCCUUCAAACUUUCCACCCAAGCUUCCGGUCGUUGAAUCAUCCCAAGACCAUAUAAGGGCUUUCUCACAACCAGCUAAAGGUGCAGGUAACAUGCGCAGACAUAGUCCUUUCAUCAGUACGAUCGAUAAAGGCCCACUGGCCACCGUUGAAUAUAGCACCAAUUUCAUCCAUGGUGUCAUUGAUGAGUGAGAGGGAGGACCAAAAUGAAUAGGACCUGUAGGCCCAGGAAGAACAGAUGAAUGUGGAAGAGGAAUCAUAGACACAAUUAUAUCAUAGUCACGAAGAAAUAACCGAUCUAAGGUUGCCUUUGGCAGAGAAGCCAAGCUUUCACAGCGGAGGAUAUCCACUCGAUAUCUCUUUCUCUUCCUUGGAGUUCCUUUUCCUUGGUCAGGUCCUUGCAUAUGUAUCAUUUUCUCAACAUUCUGGACAAUCAGACCUGACUUGGAAAACUCACUCGAGAGCUUACCAUCUUCUGCUAGGGUAGCAGAUCCGUUAUCACCAGUCGUUUCAGGUACAGAGUUGUCCAAAAAGGAAUCUUCCUGGGACGUUGCUAAAUUUUUAGCAUCAUUAAUGUUUUCUUCAGUUUCUUUAGCAGCAGAUUGGUCUGAUACAUUGGUCAAUGAUGUGUCAGCUAUCAUACUAGACUCAUCACAGCCUGAAGUUGACACUCUCGCUCUGUCAGCAACUUCCACGGCUCUAGUAUCAGCGGUAACACCACCAGAUAGUAGACACUCCAAGACACAGCGGAGACUGUAUGCAUGGUUUGCAAAUUCCUGCAACACUCCCUCAAAUUUUGUUCCCUCCAACGUGCUCAGGUCUUUGCAAAGAUUUGCAAUGCUAGUAUGGCCUAGUUUCCCUGCUUCAUAUAACGUCACAGCAUGAGAUUUCAAUCCUGCAAAAAUUUCAGUAAGAGGAAAUACAAAUAUUGUCAGAGAAGAGGAAAAGUAAGUGCACAUGGAUGCAGAUGUUGAGGAUAACAAACCACGAGAAAUUAUAACACGCAAUACUGGAGCCUGUCUAAUCAUUUCAUUCAAACUAGAAUGACCGGAAUAUGUCUAUUCCUCCCCAUAAGCCAUAAUACAAGCACCAUGGGAUAACAAAUAGUUCCUCUUGUCCUAUCUUGGAGCACCCCCUCUACUCUAGAAAGCUCAAGUUGAGCCGUUUUAGAAAGAACAAAAAAAUUCAAUAUAAGUUAAUAAUGAGCUUAUUUGAUGCAUUCUUAUUUUGCAUUAAUGGUUAUGACUGGAACUGGGACAUAAAAACAAGACAUUCAAAAGGGAACAAAGAAAAGGUAACCAACCCGGUGAAACGGAGCCCAUCAUAAGAUAAGAUGUUAUAUUAGCAUCAACGACAAAAGCAACCCGAGCAUCAUGAGAACGGUGGUUUUCUGUCCCCCAAAAAUCUCCUUGAUGAGCAGAGUCACCAUCAGUGGACACAUUUGCAGAGGUUGAACUGCGGUGAGAGGACUCUUCUUCAUCCGUAAGGACAACACCAUGAGAUAACGUUGUGUUUUCUUGAAGAAUAGAUGCCGGGUCAAUUACUUUUUCUGCCCAUCCCAAGCGGCAAACGAAAGAUGCAGCAGCCUGCAGUAUAGUAAGAUCCGCUUGUAAGGUUGAUGCCAGCUCAGCAACAGUAGCAUGCUCACUUGAAACAACAAAAACUGCAUAUAGCAACCUGAAUAACGCAGUAACUAGCAUUAAAAAUCCAAGUUACACUGCUACUAAAUGGCAUUGAAUGACCAAAACAUCAAAGAGUAACUUACUCCUCAAUAGGAUCCUCAUAAGACUGCUCCUUGUUUGAAAUAAACCCUUCAAGCCUACAAACUGAACUACAACAGCAUUAAUGACUCGAUUCACAUACCAUAAAGGACUCAAACAGAGGUGGUCAAGUGCCAUGCCAUUCCAUUAGCAAAUUCAAAACACAUUUAAGCAGCAGCAGGUAGAUCCACAGAAGUAAACAGUAGAGAACUUGAAAUAAAGUAAACAGCUAUGCAGAAAGCAUCCUAAAGAAAAAGAGAGAUAAUAGAAAAGGGCAAUGUCUAUUUUAAAUAUAUUUUUUAAGGAAAAAAAAUACCCAGACCCCAAGAAGAUUGCUUGGAUGAUAAAUAAUUCACUUCUUGGUCUUUGACCCUCAUCACUACGAAACAUGUCUGAUCAAAUGGAAUGGGAUGUAACUUUUUAUCAUCUCUUGAUUCUAAACGGAAGCAGAUUUGGGAAAGGAUUUUCGAGUGUUUAUGGUUGACCAAGAGAGUCUCUUAACACCAUGUUUUUUCUUCUUCCUUCUAUCUAUUCCAUUAGAAUUAUUAUUUUUUAUCUCCAAAAUACUUGCCAUAGUAUGAAUUAAGGAGGAAGGGGAGACAAGCAAUGCUCAGACUGCUCAAAUGCAUUCGGGAUAGAUUAAUCACCCCAAGAUAGGCAUCUGCUGAUUCUCUAUUUCUCUCACAACUGGUUAAACUGUUAGUGCAAUUAGUUACUCCAUGGACAAGGUCACUGGUCAACGCAUGCAAAUAAAACAGAGAAAAAACCUGAAAAUUUUCUUACUAUGAAAGUUAACUAUGAGGUAUACUUCAAUAAGGUUAAUCAAUCAAAAAGGUCAGAGCUCUGAAUAUACUUCAGUUUUCUGGCCCAGAAAAGGUAUACUUCAGUUUUCAAAUUACCACCAGUGAUACACACAGAGAUACCACUAUGAAAACCAAAAAUGAAAGGAUCUUUUUUCCAAAGAUAAAUUUAAGGGAAAAAAAAAAGAAAAAGAAAAAUGUAGUAGUCAAAGCAAUCCCAGGUAUAGAGACAAGUAGUAACGGCAUUAAGUGCAUCUUCCUAAAACGAGUGCAGUUUUAAAGAAGAGAAUAUCCUUGUUUCCUUGCAACCAUGAAUUAUUUUAAUGAAGAGCUUCAGAUGAAUAAACGUAGAGAUCCUACAUUGGCAGAGAGUCUGAAAGCAAACGGCUAACCUUUAAUACGGUCAUCUGGAUAUACAGGAACAUCAAAAUAGACCAAUCCCCGUCGAUACAGACCUUUUAUAAUAUCAGGAUCAAAAAGGACAUAUGCAUUAGCUUCUUCCUUGCAGAUUUUAUCUAUCAUUGCCGUUUCAUCCUCUGAAAGUUUCUAUAAAAGAAACACAGAACUGUGAAGAUGCAGAUUAGACUAACAAAGACAACUAGAUGAACCUAAACAGGCAUAAUAUCAAGCUAAUCUGAUGACAGUCUUUAGAUAAUAAGACAAAGGACAGCCAGAAAUCACCUUAAACUCUUCUACGGUAAAGUUAACAAGAGAAACUCCCCACCAAGGUUCAAUUGGAAAGUCCACAGGUUGGGUAGGUAACAACUCUUUUGCAAUCGACUUGCUCAGCUUCCACAUGAUCUUCUGGAUAGCUCCAGAUAAGUAACCAACAGGUAAGAUGAUAAAAAAGGUACUAUAUUGGAUUUAUAAAUAAAAUCUAGUUUGCAUGAGGCAGGAAAAAUAGUGCCAUCAAAAGUUUACAGGGUAAAUUAUUUUUGCCUGUUAGAAUGGCUUCACCGGACAUGAACGAAAUAAUGGAAGUUCGUCAAACAUAUCUAUACCAGCUGACUCGAGGGGGAAUUGUUAGAACUUAGUCAGCUUCUAAAACAACCCUACCCUGUACUAGAUCAGACAGGAAGUCUAUUGCUUAAACUAAUGUUAUUAUUGUCAAGUAUUGCUCUACAAACAUCAAGGCAAUUAGACAAUGCUGCCCAAAUAAAUACACAGAUAUUGCAAAUCUGUCUAUUAGAAGGGAUUCACAAUACAUGAACUAAAUAAUGAAAGUUCAUCAAACAUAUCUAUACCAGCUGACUCGAGGAGUAAUUGUUAGAGCUUAGCUGGUUUGUAAAACAACCCUACCCUGUAGUAGAUCAGGCAGAAAGUCUGUUGCUUAAACUAAUGUUAUUAAUGUCAAGUAUUGCUCUACAAAUAUCAAGGCAAUUAGACAAUGCUGCCCAAAUAUAUAUAUAUUGCAAAUCUGCCUGUUAGGCAACAAAAAGAAGACAAAAGAAUGAUUCAAGUUAUAGCAAGGGCAAGAAGAAGCAACCAAAAACAUGCCCCCUUACACAAAUAUGCAUACAUGAAUUUGUAAGCAAAAAUCUGAUCAAGUACCUUAGACUUGCAUUUAUUCAUGAUAUCGAUAAAUUCAUUUCUCCCAAUUCCUGUGAGUCUCAAGGCAUCAGCAGCGCUGAAAUUUGGGAUACUGUCAUAAGGUUGCUCUGUCAACAAGAAAUGCCUAGGAAUGGUCAGAGUACCUAUCUAAAUAAGAAAGUAAUACAGAUUCAUAAAGCAGUAACAUUUGCAAAAGGUUACUGCUGCACUAAAUCCGCAUAAUUGCAAACAUAUUUGUCUAUAAAGCAACAUGUAAAUAUUCAAUACUAUAGGAAUGAUCAACCAGUCCAAUCAAAACCUCAACAAGAACAAGUCAAAUUGAUUGUAAAUCUGAACACUGAGAAAUCAAGAAUGAGAUGCUGGAUAUCGAUUUUGUAGCAUCUAAUAUAAUUUCAAAAAAAGAAGGAAACCUUUUAGAUAGCUUGCAUACAUCUACGCUGCAAAUUGUCAUAUAUUAAUAUUUAUAAAGCAAUUAGCAUACAGUGGUAGAUGCAUCGAAGGAAACAUCUUUUCCAUAGAAUUUUUAAGUCGUUUAGCUAAUUUAAUAAUAACUGUAUGUUAACUUAUGAGCCAAGACCAAACCAAAUAAAUUUAAUUAUUACCCAAACUGAAUUAAAUAAAAACCAAACUGAACGCUACAAUUUGAAUCGGUUUUUGAUUUUCCUGGUUUUUUAGCUCUACCCUAUCUACCAAGGAAAAAAAUGAUGAUGGAUUCAAACAUAUCCUAAUCAUCCUUAGCUGCGAAAUUCUUCCAACAAUCAUUUCAUGAUGUGUCCGGUUUUUGUCUAGCAAUGGAUUGAUCUCUAGAUUUCAGUUGCUACUGUUUCCAUUAGCAAGAUUUUUCUUCAGUCAACAUAAUGUCUCAAUCAGCAGUCAUACAAAUACGUAAAAAGGAAGUUGCAGGAGAAAACCAACUAGGUGGUAGCAAUUACCAUUUCUCAUAAGAUCGAAUAUCAUAUCACAGUAAUAUCGGAAAGGAGACACCCUCAUCACACGGCAAAUAUAUUCCGCAAGGUAGUAAGGGAAUAACUACAAUCAAGAUAAUAAAAAAUUAAUUGCAAAGAACUGCUAGAAAUUUAUAAGGGGGAAAAUUGAAGGGCAGAGUCGUUUAACAUCUUGUACAAAAACUUGUUCUGGAAUUCCACUUAAAUGAAAUUUCUGAAUGUUAGUUCUGCUUAUUUAUUAUACAAAAAAAAUCUAUACUUAUGUUGCCAGUGAAAAAUUAAUAUACCUUUAUUGUAACCCAAGAAUAUUGAUCCUAUGAGAAUAAAAGUAUUUCUAAGAACAUAUCAUGGCUCAAAUCAUACUAUAGGAAAUUAUUUUUUUUUAAAAAGGUUAAAGAACUUUCUUUAACACGUACCGCUAGACUCUUUCGCAAGACACGCAUCAGCUCUUCAUAAUAUUCAUUUUCUUUGCAUAUUUUGCGAGCGAAACAAGUGUCCCAUUGGAGCCUUUUCUUGAUACAAUGUUCAAUAAUCCUAAAUGAAGUUAUCAAAAGAAAGAGAAAGAAGCCAAAAAAGAGAGGGUAAGAUCCAAGAAGUAGGAAAGAGAACUGAUCCCAAGAGCACAUUAAAACAUGACUACUUAGUUCUAAACAGGAAAUAAGAACAUACAAUCUAAAAACCAUUAUGUUCUUGCUUAACAGAGAAAAACGAAAUGUACGUUGUAAUAGUAAAUGAAAACUGAUAAAACAACACUAUAUUCAAUAAUCUGUAGAGCUAUCAUCAUGAAACAGCUUCCAAAAAUGUCAACGUCCUAAACAAAAGCUACUGCAAUACCGAUUCUGUACUAACCCCAAACCAAGCAGAAGAUCUUAUUUGGGAAAGACAAACCUCAAUUAUUAAUAGGAGCAUCUAAAAUUCUAAUCUGCGCUGCAAUGGCUAUAAAAAAGCAAUGCCAAUUCAAAUUUCUAAUUAGUUUCAAGAACUUCGUCACCAAAAAGUUAGUUUCUAUCAAUGAUAUUAGAAGCAUGAAAUAAGUAUUUCCUCAUUUGAUGAAUUUUAUCCUAUAUUAUUCUCUAAAACAGAACAAUGAAGUUCUUCAAAGAUACAAACUAAAUGAUCCUUACAACAGCAGUUUAAAAGGUAAAAAGCAUAAAGAGUAAGCAGCAAAGUCCAAAACUAACCUUCUGUGCCAUUCUUCUUUAGAAUUAAAAAUGGCUUGAAGCCGUUUGGGCAAAUUCUCCCACGGGCAUUCUUCCUUAACUGCUUUAAAAAACAACUGUUCCUCGACCGUCGUCGGAAUGUGCUGCAUUUUUGUAGAUCAUUCAAUCUCCUCCCCCUCUGUAAAUCAUUCAAUCAAUCAAUCAAUCAUAAAUAAGGUGGCGUACAUAAAUCAUUUGGAAAAAUCCAAUUUCGAUCCAUGAAAUGAGCAUUACGUGAGAUCGGAUACCUGGAAGAGAGAGAAUAAGAGGGAGCUUUGAUCGCAGUGGCGAUGGCGGAUCGAGCUACGGUUUUGAUUUUUUUCUAAAUUUUUUUGUAAAUCGCUAUAAAGAAAGAUUCAAAUCUAAAGAACUGAAAAAUUAAGGAAGGCGAAACGUUAGAAUUGGCACUACUACGUGCAUGCUUGUUUCAUGACAUGGAUGGGCGGGUCUGGUAUUGCCCUUUGCAUGAAUUUGGAUUUUGCCCAGUCCACUGUGAUUUUUUUUAAUAAAAGGAAAAAAAAAGUACACUGGUCUAGGCUUUUUAUUUCGGCCCAGACAUGGUCCACGGAUAUCGGGUAAUCGGCUCGGCUCAUGAGAGCCCCAAGCAGACAGCACGAUUCACUAAAUAUUAUUUAAAAUAUUAAAAUAUACACUGGUUUUAGAAUUUUUUAUCUUCCUCCCUGAUUGAUCGGGUACCAAUUCAGUUAAAAAAAUAAAUAAUAUAUCAUUUUAUUAAAUCAUGACUAUUAUUAUUUUGAUAAUCUUUUUUGUCUUUUCGUAUUUUUAUAUAGUUUUAAAAUAAAAUAACUAAAUUUAACAAGUUUAGGGAUUGAACUUAUGUUUAAUGAAUUUAUAUAAAAAUCAUUCACCACGACACAGAAUAAUAAUUCUUAAGUAAAUUUUAACAUAAAAUAUUUUAUCUCAUCAAAUUUUACGUGAUUUUCACAUACAUACAGAUGCUUGUUUUAAAAAAUAUAAUAAAUAAUGAAACGUAUGGUGUGAAACUAAUAAUAAUGACAACACAUUUGCAAUAUGUACGAAAUUAAAAUAAAAAAAAUUGCUUAACUUGUGAGUAAAAGAAAAUUUAAAUAGGUAAAUAUAUCAUGUUAAGAAUAUUAAAUACACUCCAAUUGUUUUUCAUGGUAUUAUUUUUCUAUAGCACAUAAAAUAGUUGUCAAGUUAGUGAAAAGAAAAUUCAAUAUUAAAAUUUUAUUUUUAAAAAUUUAAAUAUCGAGUGGGCUCGUGGCACCAACGCGAUCGUUGAUAUUAUCCAUAUGUGAGAAAAUAUCUUAUAUUAAAAGUUAUUUUUUAAAAAUUUACUCAAGAAUUAUUAUUGGUGUAGUGGUAAAAAAUUGUUUAUAAAUUCAUCAAACACGGUUUGGUACUCGGUUAACUCAUGACACCAACUUAGUCAAAGGUUUUAUUAAUAAUAUAGAUUUUUUAAAAAAUAAAUAAAUGAGACUAGAAAUCAUAUCACAUGUGUAUGUGUGUGGAAACCACAAAUUUAGAACACAAAUAUAUGCUUAAAAAUAACAUACAAAAAAUAAUGAAACUUAUGCUUUGAAACUAAUUAAUAAUAACACAUGAAAUACGUACAUAUUAAAAUAAAAAAAAUUAGAUUAAAUUGUUUAUCAUAACUAAUAAAGGAAUUAAAAUAUGUCAAAAUAUCAAAUUAAAGCUUUAGUGAAUGGUAAAUCAAAAGUUUUACUGAUGCAACCGACAUGAGCUUGAAUCGCACCAUUUGUAUAUUUUUAUUGGUUUAUUUUAAAGUGAAAAGAUUAAAAUACUUUCAAAGAAUAUUAUUUAUUUUAAUUAUAGAAGGGUAUUCUCGCAAUUUUCUAACUGAGUGGGUGUCCAAUUAACAACGUUUUAAAGUUUAUGGAUCAAUUUAAAAUGUGAGUGCUAGCUUAAAAGGCAUUUUGUGAAAUUAGCCUUAAAAUUUUUAAUUAAAUUUGAUUUUAAAAAAACGAAAUUAUGAAUUUAUAAGUUAUGCCUUAGGUUAUUGAAGAAUACAAAUUAAGACCAUGAUAAUUUUAUAUAAUUCACACACUACUCGUAAAAGUAAAUCAUUGUCACUAUACGCAUACACAACACAAGUAGACAAUCUUUGCGAUUCAAAUCCAUGACGUGGGUUGUAUACUGAGCACCCUAACGAAUAGGUCAAUAAUGGGGUUUAUUACUUAAUGACCAAAGUAAAUCUAGAAAGCUUGGCUUAAGUUGUUGUUGUGGUUUUAAUCUCAUAUCUUUCUUUGUUAUUAUCUUUUUUCUUUUCUUUUUUUUUUACAAUUUUAUUAUAGGUUCUAAUCAUAUCUGCUCUUUUUGACACAAUGCUUAGAACUAUCCAAUGGCAGAGCCACUAAGAGACCCAGGGGGGUCAUGGCGCCCCAAAAUGGUAGAUUUUCAAUUUAAACCCUUUAUAAUUUAUAAAAUUUUAAAUUAGUAAUGGUAAGAUUAAACUUUGGCCCUCUAAAAAUGAUCAAAAUUUGAUUUAACCUUUUAAAAAUUAUAAGGAUAUAUACUAUUAAAAUGAUGAAAUUGUAUUUUUACUGUCGUAAAAAUAUACAGUUUAAUUUCGGCCCCCCAAAAAUAAUUUUCUGGCUCCACCAUUGGAACUAUCCAUAGUCCCUCCCCAACUCAUAAAUAGAAGGAUAAUACGUUUCAACACACUCGAAUCCAUAACCUUCUAUAUUAACAACAAUGCUUAUACUAAUCGAAUUGAAACUCAAUUUGCUUUUGUGCUUCUUUUUUAGGUUCAUUACUUCAUAUGGGUGCUUCCUUGCCUACAAAACUACUUUAGACUUACGAACUCUAAGAUGAGUGGCGUGGGUGAGUUUCUCAACUCACAUUCUUUAAUAUAUAUUCUUUUUCCAAUAUAGGCCGUACGAAUUAGAGUUGGAAAUUGUGGUCAUUUUAAUGGCUUUCUUGAUUUGGAAUUAAAGCAACAAUCGGUUCAUGUGAAGCUAUAUAAAGUUUACUUUGAAUUUUCAAUCUAAAUCCCAAAAGAAAUACACUUUUAUGAACCUCAUUUGUCCUAAAUUGAAUAGUUUGCUUUGCCAAAAAUGAACUUAUUUGUGUAGGAAUAGUGAUGGCAAAAAAAUAUGUUGAGGGUGAACCUCAUUAUCCUUUUUGUCUUGAAAUGAAAUGUUGAUUGUUGAUAAGCUAGCACUAGAAAGGAGAAAAAAAUAUCUUAAGGAAACACAUUUAUGCACAUCAUUUUGAAACAUUUGAGCAAAUCUAUGUCCCAAUCCCCAAAACAUAUCUUCUAUUAUAUCAUGUGAUUAGAUCAGUGAGCCCAAAGUCAAGUAAGAUUAGUUCCACUUCCUUUUCCCUCACCUUACCUUUUCUAAGAAAAUAACAUAUAAAGCAUGAAGUACUAGGAUGCUCAAAGCCCUUAUCUCUCUCUCUCUUUCUCUUAUCUUUAACCUUAUUUAUCAUUUUUAUUACUAUUUAAUUAAUCUACUUAUCCCUCUUAAUCCAUUUUUAUGUGCAUUAGGGUAACAUCUAAGUUGAAAUCUUAUUAUAGUGUGAUUCUGUUUUUAAAUCAAUGGAUAUGGUUAAAAGAUAAAAAUGAAAAGACUAUAGCCAUUUGAUCAAGCUUUGCAAAAAAUUAGGACUUUGUGCUGGUGACCUGAAACCUAUUAAGUUAGUUAUUGGAUAUGCACUCAAUCUGUAAACCCUUCGAGAUUUUGGUAUUUAGUUUAUCUAUUUUUUCUUAAUUUUAUUAAAUUAAUUAGUCAUCACAAUUUUACUAAAUAGGACAAUUAUAAUUAUUUACUCAUAGAUUCUAAUACAGUAAAAUUUUGGUGACUUUGACAAAAUUAGAAUUGAGUUAACCAAAUAAUUUAAUUAGAUUAAUUAAUUAAAUUUAUAUUUUGGGAAUAGAUACUAGUUAUUAAGUAGGAUAAUUAUAUGGGUUUGUUUUAAUUUAUUAAUUUAAAACUAGACUAUACAUCAUUUUACUCAAUACACGAAAGGCUCAAGGAGCUCAGUUAAUGGACAAGUAGGUGACACUCUAAAGGCGGGUCUCCCUAUGCUUGCCUCCUACCCCUAUUGGAGUUCUACUAGAAGUCCAAUUUUCUAUUAAAAUAUUAUUUUCUAAUCUUCCUAUUCUAGUAGAACUCUUGUGAUUUUUUUCCUAUAUAUAGGAACAAGGGGUUGCUGAAAAUCAUAAGGAAAUACACUAUUAUACUCUACCGAAUUUUAGAGAAAAUUUUCUUUGGAUUCUUUAUUUGAACUCAAAUAAAUUCCAUCUUUCGUGAGUAUUUGUAGUAUAACUUUGUAAGAUUAUAAUUGCAUACACAUUGGCAAUUUUAAUUCAAAUUUGUGAGUUUGAAUUUUUUAGUUUUAGAUUUUCGCUAGAAAGUCUUGAUUUUCAUCCUAUGAUUGGUUCUUAAAUAGAGCCCACUCUCCGAGUAUAUUAGAGUUCAAGAAUAGUGGAUAAGAUCACUUGGUUGAAAGCUAAAUGGAUUUAAACACUAGAGUUAAGAUUCAACAAAUCUUUCUAGCUUGAAAGCACAUAUAAUAAAUUUGGUGAAAUUUAUUACCAUAUAUAUCACAACCAAAGUCAUGAAAAAUUUUAAAAUUCUGUUCUGCAACUAAAAUUGUUUCUCAAACCUAUUUUUUCUAACACUGUUUAGUGUUACCGGAUCUACUCCAACCUUCCUCUCUGUCUUCUAUUGGUACAUCAUGUUCAUUUGUUUGCAACACUUCCUCUCUUUAUCAAAAAAUCAUCUAUACACCUCAAUCCAAAGAACACUCCCCUAAACAAGAAAGAAAAAUGCAAGAUCACAUCUCAAUACAAAAAACCUAAAAACCCUUGAAAGUGACAAAACAUUAUAACAAGAAUACUCUACAAACGCAACCAAGCUUAGUAAGAAAGUAAAAACAAAAAUUUGAAAUCAAGGACAGUCUUUAGCAUCACAAAACAUUAAGAGCUAUGAAUCUUCACGACAAACUCCAAACACUGUCAUAUAAGUCAAAUGCUACCAUUUAACAGAUAUAAAAAAAUUGUAACACUCCUAACCCAAAUCCGUCGCCGGAACAGGAUUAAGGAGCAUUACCGGAGUUAAUAGAAUAAUUUCAAUUAAUUUAUGUCAAUUACUAUUCAUAUCAGGAACCAACCAUAUUUAAUCAUAAUGUCUAUUGAAUGAGCCCUCGAGACCCAAUUGAUGCUUUAGAAAAUAGUCGGGACUAAAUCAAGAACUUAGAGAAUUUUUCACAAAAUCUCAAAAUAUUUCUUAAGUGCAGGGGACACACGCCCGUGUCCCUGGCCGUGUGGGCAUUCGAUGUGAGGCACACGGCCGUGUCCCAGCCCGUGUCCAUGCCUGUGUAACUCUCUGACUUGGGUUACACAACCAACUACACGGUUAUGUGUCAGGCCGUGUAGAAAAUUUAAUUUUUGAAAAUUAGGUGCAGGGGUCACACGACCAAGCCAUAAGCCCAUAUGAUAAGUCAUGUGACACACACAGUUGAGACACACGCCCGUUUCUUUGCCUGUGUGAGCAAUUCUAAGCAUUUUAUUUCUCAAAUUUUAAGAUGCUGGGGACACACGGCCAAACCACACGCCCGUGCGCAUGACCAUGUGUCACACACGGCUGAGACAUGCGCUCGUACUCAAAUUUGCGGUCCAAAACCACUGUUCUGAUUUCACUAAAAACAGACUAUUAUAACUCUCCCCCUUUAAGAAUUUUCAUCCUCGAAAAUCUUACUAGAAAGAGGUUUGGAUAUUGCUUUCUCAUAGUUUCCUCCGGUUCCCAAGUAGCUUCUUCUAUUUCGUGUCGUUGCCAAAGGACUUUUAUUAAAGCUACCUUUUUUUCUCAAUCCUUUCAUCUCACGUGCCAGAAUUUUGAUCGGUUCCUCACUAUAAGUCAUGUUAGGCUAGAUCUUGACCUUUGUCGGUGAGAUAACAUGUAAAGGAUCUGACACGUAAAAAAUAUUAUGAAUCUUGUCAAGUUCUGGAGGUAGUGCCAAUCAGUAUGCAACAGGUUCAAUUCUUUCAAUAACCUCAUACAACCCAAUAAAUUGAGGACUCAAUUUUCCUUUAAGGCCAAACCGAAGAACUUUCUUCCAAGGCGAUACCUUCAAAAAUACCUUAUCACCAACUUGAAAUUCUAUCUCUUUUCGUUUAAUAUCAGCAUAAGACUUUUGACGGUCAGAGGUUGCUUUCAAACUAUCCCAAAUUACCUUUACCAUUUCUUCAGUUUCUCGGAUUAAAUCAACUCCGUGUAUCUUUUUUCUCACUAAGCUCAGUCCAAUACAACGGAGUUCUACAUUUGUGACCAAACAAAGCCUCAUAUGGUGCCAUUUUAAUACGGGACUAAUAACUAUUAUUGUAUGCAAAUUCAACUAAAGACAGAUACUUUUCCCAAUUACCUUCGAAUUCCAAAACACCAUUUCAGAGUAUAUCUUCUAAAAUCUAUAUCACACGUUCGGAUUGUCCAUCAGUCUAAGUAUGAAAAAUGGUGCUGAAAUGUAACUGUGUACCUAGAACUUCUUGCAACUUAUUCCAGAAUCGAAAUGUAAACCGAGGAUCCCUGUCUAAAAUAAUGAAGACCGGCAUUUCAUGUAGUCAGACAAUCUCAAAAACAUAUAAGUCUACAAAUCUAUCCAGGGAGAAAUCCAUACGUACCGGAAUAAAGUGUGCGGAUUUCGUUAAACGAUCAACGAUUACCCAAUUGGCAUCUUUCUUUUUCAGAGAUAGGGAUAAUCCUGAUACAAAAUCCAUAGUAACUCUUUCUCAUUUCUACUCCGGUAUUAUAACUGGAUGCAAUAAUCCCGAAGGCACCUGAUGUUCAGCUUUAACUUGCAGACAUAUCAAACAUUUAGAUACAAAUUAAAAAAUAUAAUGUUUCAUUCCCGGCCACUAGUAUAUCUUUUUCAAAUCGUUGUACAUUUUGUUACUCCCAUAAUGAAUAGACAUAGUACCAUUAUGAGCUUCAUGUAAAAUCUUCUGUAUAAGUUUUGAAUUCUUCGAUACACAUAUUCUACCUCUGAAUAACAGACAACCAUCAGACCCAAUCUGAAAUUUUGAAUCGAAAUUUGACUCACAUUGUAUCCAUUUAGCUCGUAAUUCAUCAUUAUUUUUCUUAGCUUCACAAAUCUGCUGUAGAAAUGUCGGUUUAGCUUUUAACUCAGCUAUGAUUGAACCAUCAUCAUAUAACAACAACCGGGUAUUUAUUGAUCGCAAAGCAAACAAAGAUUUCUACUCAGAGCAUCUGCAACCACAUUGGCUUUUCCCGGAUGAUAAUCACUAACCAGAUCAUACUCUUUCAAUAAUUCAAACCAUUUGCGCUGUCUCAAGUUCAAGUCUUUUUGCGACAUCAGAUACUUUAAACUUUUAUUAUCAGUGAAUAUAUGGCAUUUUUCACCAAACAGAUAGUGCCGCCAAAUUUUCAGUGCAAAAAUAAUGGCUGCCAAUUCUAAAUCAUGUAUUGGAUAAUUUUUUCAUGUGGUUUUAACUUUCUAGAAGCAUAGGCUAUUACUUUACCUUAUUACAUAAAAAAAACCCAAACCAUUCAACGAUGCAUCACUAUAAAUCACAAAUUCCUUACCCGAUUCAAGCUGAACUAACACUGGUGCUUCAGUCAACAAGGUUUUCAAUCUUUCAAAACUCUGCUGACAUUUAUUAGUCCAUUCAAACUUCAUAUCUUUCUGUAACAAUCAUGUCAUCGGAGAAGCUAUCAUCAAGAACCCUUUUACAAAUCUUUGACAGUAACCAGCUAAUCCCAGAAAACUUCUGACUUCAGACACAUUUUUCGGAGCUUUCCAGUUAAUAAUUGCUAAAAUUUUAUUCGAGUCCACUCUGAUGCCUUCAGUAGAUACUAUAUGUCCAAGGAAACCAACUUCCUAAAGCCAAAGUUCACAUUUACUAAAUUUGGCAUACAGUUUUUUUCUCACGCAGAGUUUGCAACACAAUUCUCAAAUGAUCAGCAUGUUCACUUUCAUCUUGGGAGUAUACCAGAAUAUCAUCAAUAAACACUACAACAAAUCUAUCCAGAUACGGUUUAAAAAUUCUAUUCAUUAAAUCCAUGAAUACCGCAGGUGCAUUAGUCAAGUCGAACGGUCUAAAAAUUGAUCUCUAUACAUUAGCAUCAAUAUCUGAUUAUUCUGUCAGUCAUGCCAGUUUUUAACAAUAGAAAGGGAUGAAAUUUUUAACAAAAAAGACCAACACUUCCUACACUUGUUGCGAAUGGAGCUGGAGAUCUUGAAUUAAAGCAUUGAGAGCCUCAGUCUCUCUCAGAAUACCCCAAAAAUGUGGUAGAGCAAUCAUGAUAUUUCUUUGAUUUCUUUGAAGCCGACGAUUGUGACUUUCCCAUAAAUCUUUUACUCGGAGUUCGGGCUUCUAUCUUUGCUAGCCUCUUUUCUUUGCUUAGCUCCUCAGCUUUAUGUGCCCAGUCAACUGACACCACAGAUUCUUUUAAUUACAGAAUUCCAACCAAUAACUUAAUGUUUUCAUUUAAUCCUUCUUCAAAACAUUUACACAUGGCAACUUCAGUCAGAACACACUUUGUGGCAUACUCGCUUAAUUUGACAAAUUCUUGUUUGUACUCAGAUACUGUCAUAUUUCCCUGUUUAAGCUCUAGAAAUUCUUUUCUUUUCUAAUCCAAAAAUCUCUGACUAAUAUACUUCUUUUUGAAUUUUGUUUGGAAAAAUUCUCAUGUAACAUUUUCCUUCGGUACAAUAGAAACUAGAGUAUUCCACCACUGAAAAGCCAAAUCUUUUAACAAAGACACUACACAUUUCAAACAUUCAGCAGGUGUACAAGAUAAUUCAUUCAAAACCCUAAUGGUAUUUUCUAGCCAAAAUUAAGCCCUUUCUGGAUCAUCUUCAACAAUGACCCUAAAUUCUUCCACCCCAUAUUUCCAAACUUUAUCUAGCGGAGGCUUACCAGUUCUAACAAGUUCAGUACCUUGUGGUAUAUCAGGAACCAGUAAAGAAACAUGAGGGGGAGGUUGUUGUACAGCAGGAUUUGUUCUCAAGUAUUCAGUGAACCAUUCAUUCAUCAUUUGAAAGAAGGCUUUUUUAGCCUCCUCACCUCGGCCCUCAGAUACGAGCCUUAUACUACUGGAAAUAGCUCUUUAAACUAAAGCUUGAGCAUUGUUCUCAGCUUCCUCGAAUUCAGCUCGGUCGGAUGACAUUACUAUAUGAAAAACAUGUUUAAAAUUGUCUGGAGAUAUCACACUAUCUCAAAUUAUAUAAUCGCAUAGAUAGCUAAGCUCGUACUUGCUACGUUAGUCUGAGAAUCGGCUAAACCAUAGCUUUAAUACCAAUAAAUGUAACACCCCUAACCCAUAUUUGUCGCCGGAACAAGAUUAAGGAGCAUUAUUGAAGUUUACAGAACAAUUUCAAUUAAUUCAUGUCGAUUACUAUUCAUAUUAGAAACCAAUCAUAUUUAAUCAUAAUGUCCCUUGAAUGGGCCAUCGAGACCCAAUUUAUGCUUUAUAAACAAGUCGGGACUAAAUCAGGAACUCAGAGAAUUUUUCGCAAAAUCUCAAAAUUUUUCUUAGGUGUAGGGGACACACGUCCGUGUCUGAGGCCGUGUGGGCAUUCGAUGUAAGGCACACGGUCUUGUCUCAGCCCGUGUAACUCUCUAACUUGGGUUACACGGCUAGCCAUACGUUCGUGUGUGUCUGAGGCCGUGUAGGCAUUCGAUGUAAGGCACACGGUCGUGUCUCAGGCCAUGUAACUCUCUAACUUGGGUUACACGGCCAGCCAUACGUUCGUGUGCCAAGUCGUAUGGAAAAUUUAAUUUUCAAAAAUUAGGUACAGGGGUCACACGGCCAAGUCAUACGCCCAUGUGCUAGGCCAUGUAACACACACGGCUGAGACACACGCCCGUGUCUCUGUCCGUGUGAGCAAUUCUAAGUAUUCUAUUUAUCAAAUUUUAAUAUGAAGGGGACACACGGCCAAACCACACACCCGUGUCUCUGCCCAUGUGGAAAAAAAAUAAAGCCAUUUCCAAGCCUUAUUUCUCACUGAUCCUAGCAUCAACAUAUCCAACCAAUUUUUUUGUACCAUUACAAGUCACAAUAGAACAUUCAAUUCAAGCCAAUUUCAAAUUCAAUACAUGUCAUAACAUCCUAUUUAUCCAAGUAUUUGAUAUUACCUAAUUGGCCAUAUAAACAUGAGUAUAUUUUACCCAUUCAUGCAACCAUUAAUAUAUUUAUGUAACUUCAAUCAUUCAACCAUUUCAAUACACACAUCAAGCAUGAUAAGGCCUCAUAUAACAACAUCAAAAUAUGCUUAACACUAGUCAUUCCAAUGGCUAGUUAUAACCAAAAUAUCUCCUCAUUAUGCUUAACAUAGCUUAUACAUUCCAUUAUACCAAAAGUUAGCUUGCUUUAUAUACCGAGAAGUCUAAGGGAUAGUGUGGUGUGUCUCCGACCAAGUUCUAACCUUCACGAGCUUCUGAGCACUAUAAAACAGAGGAAGUAACACAUAGUAAGUAUAUUAUACUUAGUAAGUUCGAAUAACAAAAAAUUUACUUACCACUCCUUUACAUUUAAGAUAAGCUUACAAAAUUCAUCCAAAGAAAUUUGGUAAUUUGCCCAAACACAUAUAAUCUCAAGAAACUUGUUAGUCAUGUAUUACAUGUAAACAUUAAGAAUUAAGGAUGAGCUCAUCAUGUAAAAAAUUUCAUAUACAAAUGCUUUUCAUAUCAUAUUUCCAUUUAACAUGUGCAUUUCCAUGACAAAUCAUGUUAAGUUUAGUUUAACCAUGUCAAAACUUUACCUGUUGAAUUUAUUUAAAAUAUCGAUGGAUACACAUGUAGUACACUCAAAGUGUAUAAAAUUAUAAUCCUUCAAUUCAUAUGCAAGAGUGCUCUUUAAAGCACAUAAUCGGAAAAUCCUCUCUCAAGCUAUAUAACAGGAAGCUCACAAAGAGCCAUUAAUCAAUAAGCGCACAAAGAGCCUAUCAGGAAGCUUAUCCGAGCUAUAUAACAGGAAACUCAUAAGAGCUAUAAUUAGGAGGUUCACAAAGAACUUUUAAUUAGGAAGCUCACGAAGAGCCUUUAAUCAGGAGCUCCGGAUAGCCAUAUAUCGAGAAGUUCAAGCGAGUCAUAUCAGGACGUUCACAAAGAGCUACGUUUGUGUCCGCAAUACAUGUAGGAUCACAACCGAUCAUAUAACAAUAUGCUCAAAUUUUGAAUUUCAUAGCUAUUUGAUCCUUUUAGCUACUAGAAUUCAACUUUUGCAUUUUAUGCAAUUUGGUCCUUUUCUCAAUUAAUCAUGAUAUCAAUAAAAUUUUCUUAACGAAAUUUUCAUACAAUAUUCUUAUCAUAAUACAGAUCAUAAAAUAAUAUUAAAAUAAAUUUUCUUUCAGACUCGAAUUUGUGGUCCCGAAACCACUGUUUCGAUUUCACUGAAAACGGACUGUUACAAAAAUCUUCUUGAGACAUAAGCUUACAAAUGUAAGAUUAAUCUCAAAAUUAUUCAUUGAACAGUUUCCCAUAUCAUCAUUUACUCACCUUUGAAAAAUGCUAGUACAAAUAUUUGUAGCUUUUCUUCGCAAUUCAAUAUUUGUUAUUUCCAUAACUACCUAUUCUCCCAUUCCAACUACAUCAAGAGUUAAUUGUUUGCUCAAAAGUCAAGCUUCUUCAGCCUCUUUGACAAUGUCUCUCUUCCAAUAUGUAAUAGUGUCAACCUCCUCACUUUUUCUUGUAUUUAUAACAUUCCCUGUUGAAAUAGAUUUAUCAACAACCUUGAACACUUUGUUCCCUAAUAAACCCUUUGCCUUCGCAUUUCUUUUCAACAUCUUCUUCUUUCUGAGUUUUUCCCUUUCCUUUUAGCGAAGUCUUUAAGUUUUGUAAAUCAUUGAUCAUCACCAAUGUUCAACCCUUUUUAUUUAAUACCACUAAUCUCCUUCCCUCUUUUCUAUCAUCCAUCAUGUUACCAGCUUCAUUUUCAAUAACCAAAAUUUCAUUAAAGGUACCCUAGUAGCCCUGCAUCAAACUUUGUGUGGUUGCCACAUCACUUAUAAUGUUGUCUCUAGGCGUACCAUUAACUUCACAAUUUGUUUCAAGCUAACUAUUAAAAACAUCUACAUCUUUCUCUUUUAUCUUGGUUAUCAUGCACCAAAUGAAAGCCACAUUCUUCUUCAUUAGCCUCUCUAGACAAUUCUGUUGGAAAAAUUAUUUAUGAAAACGACUUUGUUGCACAACAAAUUUUUAAUAAUUUUGAUAAAACUUGAACCUUUGUUGUGUUAUCCAUAACAAGAUUUCUAGCUUUUAACCGAACGGUCUUCUCCACUAUCCUCGAACCCUCGAUUGCUAAAAGAGUGGGGCUUUUAUCACAAACCAAACAUAGAAUGAAAAUUGCAACUCUCUAAUAAGAAAAUUUCACUUUCUCUAUGGUAACCAAAAUCGAAAUUACUAUCACGAGUACUCACAAAAAAUAGAAUUUAUUUUAUAGCUAAAUAAAUUUUCCUAAAUUUCAACAGAGUAUCCAUGCAUGACUGAUAUGUCAAUUUGGCUAUAUUAUAGUCCCUAUUAAUAGAAAAAAAUCACAAGAGUUCUACUAGAACAAGAAGAAAGAGAAAAUAUUAGUUUAACAGAAAACCAAAGUUCCCCUAGAACUCUUAUGUGUUGGGAUACCUAGUGUGGCACCCCCUAUUGCUAUUGGGCUCCUUGGGCACAAAAUGAUGAAGUAACUACACUAAGGGCACAAAACCUCAAUAAAUUCAACUACAUUUGUCGUCCUACCGUUCAUAUAUGAUUUCAAAUUUGAUUGAGAUUUAAAGUCGUAUGAAUCUUUUGAUUCAACUUCCUCAGUAUAACAACAACAAAAGAUUGAUAUGGUAAUUAGAUCAAUUCCCAAGACUCUAACAAAGAACAAAAAGCACUUUAUCUCCCACAUGAAAACCAAUUAAUUCUCCAAUUUUCUCUAAUUUCUAUAUGAUUAUCUAUAUAUACUACCCCCAUAUAAUGGAACUCCCUCUACAAUAUCAUUGUCAACACAUACAAUAUAUUAUCUAGAUUGUAAGAAACUGUGUAAUCGGAUGGUACCUAUUGUAAUUCAUGUGCACAAUUACACUAUAUGUAAUAAAUAUUGUAAUAUGAUAAUGUUUUUGUAAUAAUUGUAAAAUCUUAUUAGGACUUUUGCUAUUAUAAUAUAUUAUGUAGCCAAUAAGAAAUUGUGUAAUCGGGUAGUAUAUUCUAAUUUACUUUCCACAAUAGAUUACAAUAUAUGUAAUAAAUACUAUCUUUAGAUAAUAUUUUUAAUAACAAAAAAACCUUGAAAAUUGUUCUUUUAUAAAAUAUAUUAUAUAGAUAUUAAGAAAUUAUGUAAUUAGAUAAUAUUUAUUAUAAAUUUUUUUACACAACAUAUCACAAUGUAAAUAAAAAAAAUACUAACUUUAAUGACUUAUAAUUACUAAUAUAAUGAAACUUUACCCUAAACUAAUUUUAAAAUGGUUAAAAAUAUAAUAUUAGUCCAUGUACUUAGGAUUGGAGUUUUCCCUGUAUUUUUAAGUUAAAAAAUUAAGUCUUUCUAUUUUAUUGAUUUAAAAAUUUCAGUAAUUAAAAUCGAAGUAUUUUUCAUUAAAAUUUAUUAACUUAAAAUUUUGAUUAGCUGUUUUCAUAUGAUAUAAUAUAUGAUGGACAAAAAGUAAAUAUAUUAAAUUAAUAAAUUUAUUCAUUGUUGAUAAUAAUGGUUAAUUAAUUUAUUAUGAAUAUUUUUUAAAAAAUAAAUGAUUAAUCAUAAAGUAUAUUGUAUUUUAUGAGAAAAAAAAUUAAAUUUUAAUCAUAUCCCUUAAAAUUAUUGAACUCUGUGUCAUUUUGGACCGACUUGCUUUAUAGUUGACAGAUGUCAAUUUCUAAAUAGUUGUCAUUUACUGCUACAAUGAAGUCGGUGCUAAAAGUAUAUUGCCAACAUCAGUUUCUUUCCUUCCAUCUUUGAAUUGUUUCAAUUUAACACCUGCUUAUUAGUUUUUUGGUUUCUUUUGGUGCUAUAAGGAAGCUAUUUCGUAAAUAAUUAUUAAAGCCAAUGAUUAAUUUAAAAUUAUAUCAACUUGAAGUAAUUAAAAUUUAAAAUAAUUUAGACCAAUAACGGCCCAUUUCAAAAAUCAAAACUUUAAACUCGAAUACAAAAUAAUCGAUUAUAUAAAUGAACGUAUUUUAAAGUAGGGUAAAUUAUAAUUAAAAUUAUUAAACUAUUAAUAAAUUUAUAUUUUGAUCACUCGAUUAUAAAAAAUUACAAGUGUUUGAAAAUUUUAAUUUAAAUCACUGACAUAUUAAAUCUUUAAUAUAAUAGUCACGUAAUUUCCUUUAACGAAUUAAACCUAAUCCAUUUUAUCUAAAAAUACUAAAUUGAACUCAAGGACACUAGUAGAAAAACUUAAAAUAUAAUAAUUUACUUAUUAAAGAUUAAAAAAAAAAAGAAAUUCAAAAUGUUUUCUUAAAAUCAUGUGAAAAUGCUCAUUAAAAAUUCUAAAAUGAAAGCUUUUGAAUAGUUUUUUUUUUUUUGGAUUAGAAAAAUACUUCCAAGUAUUGAUUGAUUAAACAAAGCACCACAAUAUCAGCAACAAAGGAAAACAUCAGUGAACAAUAUAGGAAAAUAAGAGCCUAACAAAAUUAAAAGAGCAGACAUAAAAUCAACUCUACCAGUGUCAGGCCGAGCUCGAAAUUAGGCGAUAGGCGAAACUGACAGGCCAUCCUUGUCCAAGAUAAACACCAAGGAAGAUGGUGGGUGGUGAAUCCAACCCUCCAAACUCAUCUCCACUUUAACCUACUUAGCUACCCAAUUUACAGUUUUGUAAUAGUUUAGUUAUUAUUUUGUAAAAUUUUGAAAUCGAGUGAUUAAAAUUUAAACUUAGUAAUAGUUCAAUAACCUUUGAUACAAUUUACCCUUUGAAUUAUAGAAAUUAAUUAUAAAGUUGAAAAUUGUUUGUAAGGUGGUAAAGAAGAGGAUAACAAAUUACUAAAUAGGAAUGAGUUGUAGUAGGACACGAAUGCUCAACAAUGGAAAGUUUGUUUCUUGCAAGCUAAAUAAAAAUGACAAAACCAAGACCUCCCAAUUAAAGUAAACCCAUUUUUGAAAAAGAAGAAACUUUUUUUUUCUUUAACAAAGGGAAGAAGACAGCAAUGGUGAAAAUCUGAUUGAAAACAUGUUUUGAAAAACAGUGUAGGAAAUGUGCAAAACAAAAUUCAACAUUGGCAUUUAAUGAAGCCGCAUUCUUUGAAACAACCACUAAUGGUAGGAGCCCAUUUAAGGAAAGAAAAUCAUGCAAAUGUUAAAUAUGAGUAUUUGUUUUCAUGUCUAUCGAGGUCUAACUCGAUCGGUAUGGAUAUUGUUGUCAAUAUAAAAGGAUGUAGGUUCGAGUGUGCUGAAGUGUAUUAUAUAUCUAUAGAUAUAUCUAUUCAUGGGUCAAGGAGGGACGAUAGAUAACUCUAAUCAAAUAAAUAAACAAAUAAAUUGCAUUUUUAUUUUCAUAUAAAAAUAUAUAUGUCUAAUGUAAAUAUUUUUGAAAAAAAAUUUGAAGCAACAUAGGACAAAAUUGAAAACAAACUAACGCAAAAAGGGGGAUUUCUCUUUCUUCUCUGGUAAAAGUAUCAUAGAGACCCCCUAUAGUAAAUUGUGUAUCUAAGGGAAUUGGCAGGGCUCCGACCUCCCUUAAAAUAGAAAAUUGUACAUUUAGGCUAUUUAAAAAUUUUAAAUUAGUAAAAAUAAAAUUGCAUUUUGCCUCCCCUAAAAAUGAUAAAAAAUUUGAUUUAAUCUUUUAAAAAUUAUAAAGAUAUAGGUUAUUGAAAAUUAAAAUUUAAUUUCAGCCUCCCUAAAAAAAUUUUCUGGCAUCAUACCUGCCUAUAGUAAAAGUUGGAUUGCCUUUUGACCCCUCUACUCAAAAAAUUGAUAAAUCAGUCUCUGUACAUUAGAUCAAAGAGCAAAGUGGUCUUUUCUGUUAAAAUUUUCAUCUAAUUCUACCAUUAAAAAUUGAUCUCUAUACAUUAGCAUCAAUAUCUGAUUAUUCAGUCAGUCAUGCCAAUUUUUAACAAUAGAAAGGGAUAAAAUUUUUAACAAAAAAGAGCAAUUUACUUUUUGAUCUAACAUAUAGAGACUAAUUUAUCUAUUUUUUGAAUAGAAAGAAUAAAAUACAAUUUAACUUUAAAUAAAAGGACCUCUAUAGUACUUUUACCCUCCUUCUUGUAGACGUGUAUAUGUUGUCCAUCUGUUGAAAUUUGAUGUUAUUAUGAUUGUAAUAUCACAUCACAUGCAUUAAAUGGCAUUAAACACAGGUCUUAUUCUUCAAUAUUUUGAGAAAAAUUUGAUCUUCUUAAAAAUCAUGCCUACAUUUUUAGUCUAGAAUUGAUUUUAGAUUAAGUUUUAUUUUAAUUAUUGAUUUUGAUUUAUUUUGUUUAUACAUAUGUGGACUUUAAUAAGUUUACUUGUAACUUCAAAACCACAAUUAUGCAAAUCUCUUUGGAUAUCUUACCCUACCAACACACUUUCAUUACACAAUUUAAGGUGGGUCAAAAUUUUUUGGUCAAAUGCUAGAUUAGUUUAAUAAUAAAAUUAUUAAAAUUAUUAGGGGUGGGCGUUCGAUUGAAUCGAGUGAAGAAUUUUUUAGUUAAUCUAGUUGAUGAGUCCUAUUUUAUCAUCCUAACUCCAUCUGAAAUUUUUUCGAAUUGAGUCGAGUGAAAUUGUUUUAAGUUAAAUUAAAAUUUUAAACUUGUCAAAUUAAAAUCUUGUUCUAGUAUACCUAAUUCCAUGUUAGACAAGUAAAUUUGAAACUAUAUAUAUUUAAAAACUUUUUCAAAGCAAAAUAAGAAAAGGAAACAUACUUUAGUAUGAUAAACUUGAAUCAUUAAUUAACUUGGGUCUCAAAAUUAUUAUUUUAUAAAUUCUUUAAAAUUUUAAAUUUCUUUAUAUAUUCUUAAAAAUAUAUACAUUUUGGAAUUUUAUAAAGAUUUUAAUUUUUAAAAUUAUUUUUGAAUUUUUUAAAAUUAUUUGAAUUUUAUUUUUGUAAUUUUUGUUGAGAGAGUGACCAAUUUGCUCAUUUUCAAAAUUGUCAGGAACCUAAGGGGUAUUUACACAAAUAUGUUAUUCAAAUUAUUUGAAUUAUUCGAGUUAUUCGAAUUAUAAAAUUCAACCCGACUCGAACUCAGAAUUCGAAUUACUUAUUCGAGUUGACUCGAAAUUUGAUUUUUUCUAAUUGAAUCGAGUUUUGCUCACUCCUAAUUUUGUUAUUAGUUUAAUAACAAGAAGAAGAAAAAAAUAAUGUAUAUGUGUAAAAAUAAUUAGACAUAAAAUAAGGAAUAAUUAAUAUAAAUUUAAACUUGAAAUUAGAAGGUUGGUAAAACUCUUGUAAAAAAAAAACUCUCCAAAAUAAGUAAAAAAGUUCUUUCUUUUUACCAUAAACAAAUCAUAUGAGUGGUUAAAAAUUACUAAUUGUAAUUAAUUUAUUGCUAAUUCAUGUAUUAAAAUAUAUGAAAAAAUAAUGCUACCAAACAUAAAUAAAUUUAAAUCAUGAAAUAUCAUUUUAUUAUAUUUAAUAUUAUUAAAAUGACAUUGAUAUAUUUUUAUAAUUCUAAUGAUACUCAUAUUACAUAUUUUACAUACAAAUACGUAUUUAUUUCAAUAUUUUUAUUUUAUAAUUAUUUUUUAUCACGUGAAUUUCAAUUAUUUAAAAUUCCUUUAUUUAUACUAACAAAAUAAUUACACAUAUGACUAAUUUACUUUUUAACCUAAAAUAUAAGUAUAAGCCGGUCAAUUUAUUAAAAAAUUAAUUUAAUAAAUUAAAUUACUUUUUUAUUCCACAAUUGGAUUAAUAAAUCAUUAUAUGUCUCAUUUCUUUAGGUUUUAUAUUUUAAAAUACCAAUCAAGAAUAGGCGAUGAUUUUUAAAUCUACUCAUCGAAUUAAAAAAGCCUUCACCAUUAAUGUAUCAAAUAAUUAUCCUUAAAUGAACUAAUGACACGAAUGACUCCUAUAUUUUAGUUUAGUUUUAACGUGAUACCUUUACUUUUAAAAUGUCCAAUUUAGUCCAUGAAAUGUCAUUUUGUUUAUAAUUUGAUACCUGAACUCUAACAAUGUUUAAUUUUUUUUAAUGACAUGAUUGUUUGACCAAUGGAAUUGUGAUGCAUGGCACUUUUACCAAUAUUUAAGGAAAAUAAAUUUAAGGUAACACAUGUUACCCUUUCGUUGGUAAAUUUGAUAUAUUAUAAUAAAAUUAAAGUCGUUAGGGUCAAGUAUAGCAUUGAUUGAUAGAAUGAAACUUCAGGUAUUAAAUUGGUUUUUUUUAAACUAUAGGUGUCAUUAUUUGUUUUACGGCCUGAGACUAAUCCUAUUUAGGCCCAUUAGAACUAAACCUAAAGUGUAAGGAUCAUUCAUUUUGUUAAUUCUUUUUUAAAUUGAAUUUUUUCUUUUCUUUUUUGAUUAGGGGGAGAUGGCAAUAAGUUGAGUAAAGGCGGAGGUUGCUAAAUUCAUUACUGCUCCAUAGUUGUCAUGCUCUGACUCACCACCCGCCUUGCUUCACUAUAAAUGUGCAGUCAUGAAAACUACUAUAACUUCUAUGAAUAUCGGAUACGAUCAUUUUCAAUUUAAUUUUUGUUAGUUAUUUUUAAUAUUUUUAGUAUUUUUAAAGGUAAACAAUAUAUAUAAACAUAAUCUUUCAAAAAAAAAUUCAAUAUACGAUUAAGGGAAAAAAGUAUAAGAACAUAGAAUUUUUCGAAGCUUAUGUUAGGAUUUUGGUGUCCCAACUUUUUUUUAUUCUAUGUUCAUACCUAAACUAUCCAUACGUAUUUUAGUCCAAAAGUUAAUGGCCUAUUUUUUAGUCCAACCAAUGAGAUUGCACUAUGUGUCUAUUUUGUUUUCAUAUCAUUGGUGAUGUAUUAACCCAUCAUUGAUCGGGUGUUGAUCAAUGUUGAUAAGUAUUGACCAAUCAUUUGCUUUGGUAUUUUUAAAGUUUUUAAAAAGUAUUAUAUUUAAUUUUUUUUAAACAUAAAUAUUUCAAAUUUUUAGAAUUUCUUCUAAAUUUUAUAUAAUAUUUUUUGAAAAUUUAAGAGUUUUAACUAAUUUAUUAAAAAAACAAUAUAUAUUUUAAAACUUUAAUUUAUUAUAAUUUUAUACAUAUAUUUUAGAAUUUUUAAUUUUUUUAAAAUUUGUUCAGAUUUAUAUAUUUUAAAUCUUUAAAAAUUUUCCUUUUUGGAAAUAUUUAUAUAAGGUUUUUAUAAAUUAUUAUUUUAUAUAAUUUAUAUAUUAUAAAAAAGCUUUUAAAAUUUUAAUUUAUAUAUAUAUUUGAUUUUUAAUUAUAUGUGUGUAAAGAAAUAUCACAUUGUGCAAUUUCACUGGCCACGCGUCUCACCUAUUUUUCUAAUACCAUUAAAUAAUUUAAAUACUAAAACAGAAUAAAAAAAUUAGGCACCUAAAUAGAAAAAUAGAUAUAAUACAAAGACCAAAUUGUAUCAUAAUAUUUUUAUUUUUUUAAUAAUUAUAUAUAAAAUUAAGACAAUUAAUAACCAUAACUAUUUCAUAUCCGUUGUUAAAAAAAUUCACUUUAUCUCGUUUUAUAUAUUUAUUUCAAAAAUUUUAUUUGAUUUGAAUCGAAUCGAUAGAAUGAAUUCAAAAGAGAUUACAUCACUAUUUUUUUUUUAUGAGAUCUGCAAUCACCAAUCUUUUGUCAGUCAGCUUUGAGUGUCACAAUAUAUAGCAUUCUUUGCAAUUAAGCCCUCCCCCAAAAAACCAAACAGAUCAAAACAGCAAACCUGCUUGAAAGUUUGAAACCCCCCGCCCCCCCCCCCCCCCCCCCCCCCCACCCCCCUCUCUCCAUCACAAACAACAACUUAAAAUAUAUCAUCUCAGAGUCUUUGGUUUUGGUUUGCAAAUCAUGAAGAGGCUCAGUCCUUCACCUUCCUUGGAUGCUUUCAUGUCCAUCUCUCAGCCUAAAGGUAUACACAUGAAAAUUCCCACCUUUAUUUCAUGUUUCUUUAACCCAAAUUCGAUGUGUUUAAUUCAGUUGAUUGUGCAGAGGAGAAGAGUUCAAAGAAGCACCAAAUUUACAGCAAGGAAUUCCAGGCUAUGUUAGAUGGUUUAGAUGAAGAAGACAGCUUAGAAGAAGGUGGUCAAGCAACAGAGAAGAAAAGGCGUUUAUCUAUGCAUCAAGUUAAGGCUUUGGAGAAGAAUUUCGAUGUGGGAAACAAGUUAGAACCAGAGAGAAAAGUGAAGUUAGCUGAAGAAUUGGGGUUACAGCCAAGGCAAGUGGCUAUUUGGUUCCAAAACCGACGUGCUCGUUGGAAGACCAAGGUGUUGGAGAAAGAUUAUGCAAUGCUUAAAGCUAAUUAUGAUGCUCUUAAGCUUGAUCAUGACAAUCUUGAAAAAGAAAAACUGGGUCUAAUUGCAAAGGUUAGUGUUUAUAUUUCAAACCCCAUUUUUUAGUUUUUUUAAGGUAAAAGUAAUAUAAAUCUUUGUACUAGAAGUCGGAUUACAUUUUGUUCUACCUACUUAAAAUUUAGUCAAAUUAGUUCUUGUAUAUUAAAAUUUUCAUUCAUUUAUAGUGUUAAAACUGAAGUGGUUAACGAAAUACUUGUAUUUCAUAUUAACGUAUAGGGUGAUAGGGAUCAAUUUUUAACAGUAAAAUUGUAUGAAAAUUUUAACAGAAUGAUUGAUUUGCUCUUUGAUUUAACAGGCAUGUACUAAUUUACCUAUUUUUUAAGUAGAGGAAGUAAAUUAUAAUUUAACUCCUAGUACAGGGGCUUCAAUGAUACUGUUACCUUUUUUGAAUUAAUUAAAUCUAAGGGUUGAUAUAUGAUUGUUUUGCAGCUGAGGGACUUGAAAUCAAAGUUGAAAGAAGAGUGUCCAAGCUUUUCAGUGAGGAACAAAGAGCAAGGUUGCUGUGAGAAUGAUGAUGAUGAUGAUUGUAAUGGGAUCGUUAAAGAAGAAAGCAAUGUGAUGAAUGGUUCGUCUUCAUCGUCGGAUUCAUCAAAUAAUCAUAAGUGGUUUAAACCAUUUGAGUCGAGAAUGGAUAUGGGGUAUACGUAUGAUGAGCCAGAGUUGGUGGAAUUGGAAGAACGAAGCAUGUUUAGUGCAGAGGAAUCUUGUGGUUUCUUCUCAGUUGAUCAAGCUCCAUCUCUUCAAUGGUACUUCACGGGGCAGUAAAAAAAACACUGCAUAAAGGGAUAAAAUAGCCUUAAAAGUUUUGUAAUUUAGGAAUAUUUAAGGUCUAUUCUUCUAUUGUUGUUGUUGUUUUUUCAAUUAUCAUAAUUAAAACUGAUUAUUGGGCGGAAUAUUACGCAUAAGGUUUCGAGUUUGAUUUUUGUGAGGGUUUUUUUCUCCUAUUUAGGGGUCUAAUCUGACUCAACUUUAGAUUUAAUCGAAGCUUAAUGUGAUUAUGAGAUACCUAACAGAUUUAGAUUAAAAAAAUAUAAGUUCAAAUAUGUGUCCCAAGUUCAUGUAUUUUUCAUGCCUUUAAAAUUUAGUCACUCAACUUUUAUUUCGCAAAAUUUAGUGUUUCUACUUUUCGAAUUAAAUAAAUCAGGUCUAAUUAUCAACUCUGUUAAUAUUCUUCUGUUAAAUUUGUUUGAUAGUUAUAUAACCAAAAAAAAAAGUUGUAAUAAACAUCAAUUUAAAAGAAAUAUUUUAAUGUUGUUAACAAUUAGACUUGCCAUUUUAUAUCUAACAAAAGACAGGGAUUAAAUUCUUAAAAAUAAAAGUAAAAAGAUUCAAAUUCUAAAUAUACGAAUUUGUUUUCAUAUGUUUUAGUAUAUGGGUUAGUAAUACACUAGCUCAAUUCAUAAUAUUUAGCCAUGCACAUGACUUAUUCUUAUUAUAUAAGUUCUUUUUGAUACAAUGUCUAAAAUUACUCAUAACCCCUCUCGAACUUUUAAAUAGGAGAAUAAUGAAGCUAAAAUUUUUUUUAGAGGGGCCGAAAUAAAAUUUUAAUUUUUAAUAGUCUAUAUCUUUAUAAUUUUUAAAGGAUUAAAUUAAAUUUUCAUAAUUUUGAGGGGUCAAAGUGUAAUUUCACCUUUACUAAUUUUAAAUUUUAAAUUUUUUUUAAAGGGCCAAAACAAUAAUUUUCUAUUUUAGGGCCCCUACCAGCCCCCCUGGAUUUGCCUCUGUCAGUACACUCAGACUCAUGUACUCUUGUAUUAACAAUAACUCCGAUACUAAUUAAGUUAAGACUCGACCGAUAUAUUUAUUAAACUUUUUAUCUAUUAUAAUAUUAUAAAGAGAAAAAUAGUGUUGGCGGUUUCAAAGUACCUAAAAAAACCAAAGGGCCAUGUUCGAAAAUUCAGAAGGCAGCGGCACAAAACUGGGUGUCCAAUCCAAUGGCAAAGUUCCAAAUUGGAGACCCGAUGCAUUCCCUCUUGGUUCUAGUUGCUUUCCUUUUUUUCUUUUUGGGACACCCCAUUGUUUUGACUUUAAUGUAAAAAACAGACCAUAUCCCUCCAUCUCCCCUGACUUGUCAAUUUUUUGCACCAGUCUUUAAAGCUGGCAUCGCCAAAAUGCAAACAAUGGCUGGCUGAAGCUGUUUCCCUAUGAAGAAAAGCCAAGAUACAAACCCUCUAGUAAGGUAAUAUAGACAAAUAUCAUGAAUUUCAGAGCUUGAAAACUAGAUUUACUUUGAUAUUUACAUUCUUUUGAUUUACUUUAGUAUCUGAAUUUUAAAAUUAAAUCUAUUUCGAUUUAUAUUGUCAAACUUUUAUAUUUUUUUUUAAAUUUAGAGAUUAAAAUAGAUUUAGUUGUUAAAUUUAAGUAUCAAAUUAAAUUAAAAAAAUAAGCAACAAAGUAGACUUAGUUGAUAAGUUCAGACGGUAAAAAUUACAUUAACUCUAAAAAUAACGACAUCUAAUAUAUAAUGAAAGAAAUUACAUGUUACUAUUUAUCACCACUUUUGAACAUUAAAAAAAAUCACAUAAAGACCAGCUUUGGUUUGGUUCAGAAUGUGUUUUCAAAAAGAGUUUUGGAUGGCUAAAAUGAAUGCUAAACAAUCCCCACUCAUAAAAUCAUAGAUCUCCCUUCAACUAAUAGACAUGUCUAUACUUACAAGUGCUGAUAUUCUUUGGAAUGCGAUGGAAAUGGAUUUAAAUUUAUUAUAUUUUAUGAUUUGCGGAUGUUUGAUACGAGGAAAAUAAGAUUACCUUCGAUAAUGUAAUUAUCAUAAUAUGAUAUUAGUCAACACAUUAUGAGUUCAAAAUAACCUUUAGAAUCUAAAUCUGUAAAUGUUAUUCCGAAAUUUUACAUUACUUUUAACAAUGUGAGAUUAUUGAACUAGAUUUUUAUAAACCUAACAAAUUUGAACGGCAAGAAAACAUGGACAUAGUUCUUUCUUUUCCAUGUUUGCCAUUCCUUAAAACAACAAGCACUUGUCUAGGGCAUACAGACUAAAUAGACUCACACCACCGUAUUUUCAUUAAAAAGAAAACAACAAAUCUCUCAAAGUUACUAGAUCUUAAUUUUAGGGUAUGAUUUGGUAACAGAAUUAUCGAAAUGUAAAAUUACUUAUUACAUCAUGGGCUCAAAGUAAUCUUUGAAAUCUAAAUGUAAAAAUAUUAUUAAGAAAUCUUACAUUACCUUUGACAAUGUAAGAUUAUUGAACCAUAUCUUUCUAAACCUAACAAAUUUGAAUGGCAAGAGAACAUUACCGGAGUUCUUUCUUUUCUUUUCUUUUCCAUGUAUGCCAUUACUUAAAACAACAAGUACUUGCCUAGGGUAUAUAGACCAAAUAGACUCACACCAUCCUAUUUCCAUUAAGAAGAAAAUGACAAAUCCCUUAAAGUUACUAAAUAUUAAAUUUAGGGUGUGAUUUGGUUAAGGGAAAAUAAGACUAUCUCUGAUAACAUAAUUAUCGAAAUAUAAAAUUACUUAUUACAUUAUGGGCUCAAAGUAAUAUUUAAAAUCCAAACAUAAAAAUGUUAUUCCGAAAUCUUACAUUACCUUUGACAAUAUGAGAUUAUUGAACCAUAUCUUUUUAAACCUAACAAAUUUGAAUGGCAAGAGAACAUUAAAAGAGUUCUUUCUUCUUUUUUUCAUGUGUGUCAGUCCUUAAAACAAUAAGCACUUGCCUAGGGCAUAUAGACCAAAUCGACUCACACCACUCUAUUUCCAUUAAAAAGAAAACGACAAAUCUCUUAAAGUUAUUAGAUCUUAAAUUUAGGGUGUGAUUUGGUUAAGGUAAAAUAAAGUUAUCUCUGAUAACACAAUUAUUGAAAUGUAAAAUUACUUAUUACAUUAUAGGCUCAAAGUAAUAUUUAAAAUCUAAACGUAAAAAUGUUAUUCUGAAAUCUUACAUUACCUUUGACAAUGCGAGAUUAUUAAAACAUAUCUUUCUAAACCUUACAAAUUUGAAUGGAAAGAGAACAUCAACGAAAUUCUUUCUUUUCUUUUCUUUUCUUUUCCACGUGUGUCAUUCCUUAAAACAACAAGCACUUGUCUAGGGCUUAAACCAAAUAGACUCAUCACCCAAUUUUCAUUAAAAAAUUGACAAAUCUCUCAAACUUAUUGGACCUUAAAUUUAGAGGAUAAUUUGGUUAAGGGAAAAAUAAGAUGAUCUGUGAUUACAGAAUUAUCAAAAUGUAAAAUUACUUAUUAUAUUAUGGGCUCAAAAUAAUUUUUGAAAUUCUUAUAUUAUCUUUGACAAUGUGAAAUUCUUAAACUAAAUCUUUCUAAACCUAACAAAUUUAAAUGAUAAGACAACAUCGAUAGAGUCCAUUUCUUUUCUUUCCUAUACGUGCCAUUCCUUAAAAGAACAAGCAAUUGUCGAGGGCUUAGACCAAAUAGACUCACACCACCCUGUUUCUAUUUAAAAAACAUACAACAAAUUUCUCUCAAAGUUUUACAAUCAUAAGGAGAUUGAAUCCGAUGCAAAAAUGUGAAAGCACCCAACUCAUGUACUCCUCAUCCUUCAUCCCCUAUAUGCAGCAAAGGACCAUACUUUCAUUACAAAUCUUUAGAAAGGGGGGGGGUGUAAAUGCUUGAUAGCAACUGAACUUCCUGAUAAUGUAUUAACUUAUUCGAAAUGCUUUAAUGAAAGAGUUACCUUCCUUGAGCACCACAUGAAUGGAACCUGUCUGUCUGGCAUGCAUGCUUUUAGCCCCAUGAGUUGAGCCUACAACAUGUGGAUGUGGAUAUAAGGCUCGUCCCUUUCCACUUUUCUUAGUUUGGGAGCGGGAAAGAGACGCACCAAAAAGCUGCUGCUGACUCUCUUGUCGUUCCCUUUCAUGUCUGGAAAACAAUGGGUCCCUUUGUUCAUCAAUUGUUUGACUCUUUUUAUCCACUAUUGAAUCUACCUAUAGCUGUUCCAUAACUUUUGUGGGAAAUUGGCAAUCCCUAAAAAGCCCAUUAAAAUUUUCACCCUCCCACUUGUGGUAAAAGUAUAUAGAUGUUAUUGAAUCACAACAUUUUUACAUAAUAUUUUUUUCGCACUUAAAAUAUUUACAAUGAUUAAUUCUCUUAUUAUGGGUGCUCUAUGGGUGCUCUUUGAAAAGGUAAAUGACUAACUAUGAAAAGUGUUUUAUUUUCAUGAGCAAUGAUUAAAACCCUAACCAUAUAAUUAAAAGAUGAGGUGAGCAACCACCACACUACAUCUCAUAGUUGAUAUCGUACUUUUAAACUUAGUGGGAAAAAAAUUGUAUAUUAGAAUAUGGUAUUGAAAAAAUUUUAUAUAAAAAUUAUAUUUAUUAAAAUUUUUUGUAAGAAUCAAGUAAAGCUUUGGUUGGUUUGGUAAAAUUAAAUUUCUAAAAAAUUAUAGAGUUUUAGGUUUAAGUCUGAUCAUACAUGUGUUUUCAUUAAUUUUAUAUAAAAAUAUAAUGGCUUGUUUAGUAGUGCUUAAAAAAACACUUCUGACUCCAAAAGCACUUUUAGAAAAAAAACUGUGCUAAACAAACUGCUUUUGGUUGAAAUUUUUUGCUUCAAAAGCACUUCUGAAAAGGAGAAGCUAAAAUUUUUAGCUUUUCCUCCCCAAAAGCACUUUUGGUGCUUAAUUAUUUUUUCACCUCCCCAAUAACAUAGUAAUUUCUCUUUGUUUCUCUUGGUGCUUAAUUACAAAUGUGUUAAAAUCAUUAAUUAAAAAUAAAAAUAAAUAUUUUUAAAAAUACUAAUUACACAUAUUUAGUGGUUAUAUUUAAAUAUUUAAAAUAUAGUUUAUAUAUUCUAAUUAAAUUUAAUAAAUAAUUAAUAUUUAUUGCUUAAAAAUAUUUAAAAUUUAUAUUUCAUAUAUUAAAACAUUAACAACAAGUUAUAAUAAUUUUUUAUAUUCUUACUAAAAUAUAAUAAUAUUAACUAAUUUAAAUAUUAUUUAAAUGCAUUGUUUCUUAAUAAUAACAUGUCUAAAAUGAAUAUUUUACUUCUCAAAAUCACUUUUUGACAGCAACACUCAAAUUUUAAACUAAACUUUUCAAAAACAUUUCUCAAAAACACUUUUUUACGACACUUUUCAAAAACAUUGCUAAACUAGCCCUAAAAAGACAAAAACACUAAUAAUAGUAUAAUUUACGUAAAAGAAUAUUACUUUUACUCAUUUCAUAGCUAAAUUGAUAUAUGGUUGACUCAUGACACUAACUUAAAGAAACAAAUUUAAAUAUAGUAUCGAUUUUUUUAAAAAUAAAAAAUAAAAAAACAUAAAUCAUAGUUUUUAAAACAUUUUGAAAAGAAAAAAUAUUUUGUGAAGUGGAUUGAACAUUAAUUUAAAGGGGUAAGUCUCUUUCUUUUUCUUUUUCUUUUUUAUAAAUAUGUCCUUACUUCUCUCUCUCUCUUCAUUUUUUCUCUUUUUCUUUUUUUUUCUUUUUCCUUUUCAUCUUUUUCUUCUUUCACAUUUUUUGUUAUUUUUCUUUUCUUCCCUCCUCUCUUCUUCCCAACUCUAGUCGUCACAUUUUCCUCUCUCGUUGACAAAUCUACAAAACCAAAAAAGCAUCAAAAUUAAAGAGCGAAGAAAGAUAAAGAAAAAGAGUGAGAAGGAUCCUUCAAGUUUGGCCAAUGAGUAAUUGGAGAGAUUUGGAAUCUUCGUUAGAGAUUCCGAACGGUUGAGGCCUUCAUCGGGACAAUGAAGCAACAAUCUAAGUUGUAAUACUGAAAGAUUUAGGCUUUAAUUUCCUAAAACCUUGAGGAAGAAUUCCCAAAAUCAAACCAAUAAAAAGAAGGGAGGGAGGGAGGGAGAACAAAUUCCAGUGUCUUUUUUUGACCAAUCAAAGAAGGUUAGUAGCGGUGGAGGAACGUGCGACAACUAGGCUACAAGGAAGAAGUGUUGGGGAAGCAUGUAAGGUUUGCAUGAUAGAAUUUUAAAAUUUGUAAUACAUCCAGGAUCAACUAAGAUAGUUAGAAGACAUAGUUAGAACAAUAAAUUGUUAAUAAUCUAGUUUUUAGAUGUAUUUUGAUUCGUUUUCGCAAGUUGAAGAAGUUGUUUUGCAAUUAAUUGUGAUUUGCUCGGAGGAAACUGCACUCUUUUACGAAAACAUCCCUAUUUGGUUCAGUUCGAGUUGAGCUUAAGCAUGAUAUUAACACACUUAUGUUUGCCUAAACCCGACUUAACUCGAAAUAUAAGUCUAAAUUUUGCCCAAGCCCACCCGUACUUAUAAAUGGUUAACUCAAGCUAAUUUUAGGCCCGUCUAUAUUGUUUUUGCUUUUUUAAAAAUAUUUAUAUUGUUUUUAAUUUAAUAUUUAAUAUUUAAUAAUUUUCUUUUAUUAAAUAUUAUAUAUAUGUAUUUUAACAUUUUUAAUGUUUACAUUAUAGUAUUAUAUAUUACUAUAAAUUUAAUUUUUAUGUGUUAUAAAUUACAUAAUAUAUAAAAACUACAUAAUAGAAUGUAUUAGAAACUUAAAAACAUGUCGGAUUAGGUCAAGAAGUGUCAUCUUUAUGAACACACUGCACAUAGUCAACCAUGGGAAGUGACAUCUUUAUGAAGUGUGCUAGUCGAUCUCCGAGGCUAAAAACCCAAUUUUGUGAGUUAUUAACGAAAGUUGCAUGGAGGGACUUUCAAUUCAGCAACAAUAGCAAUCUUGGAUGUUGUUGGGUCAACAAAUGCCAUUAAGGCAUUCUGGAUAAGUUGAUCUUAAAGGAACCAAAUGGUAUAGUCAAAAUUGAUUUGUUAACAAUCAUUGGUAAUGCGUUGAAGGGCUAGAUUAAAACCAAUUUGAUGGCCAAAGAGAUCAUGGUCAUGCAUGAGCAUUGAAAAUUGUACUUUCUAGGUCGAAAAAUUGAUAUUCCUAAUUAAUGUUAUAAUGAGUUAAGAGGUGGGGUUGAAUUAUUCGUCGUAAUAUGAUUAAUGUUUUAUUAGCUUCGAAAAUGAGAGUAUUGAUAGAAACUAUUCAAUAUAACAACUACUAGUAGGCUUGUUUAUGCAUGAAACAAUAGGGAUAUUUUUAUCAAAAUUGUACAAUUUUUGCUAGCUCUGAUACCAUAUAAACAUAAAA
rnacentral:lncRNA from 1 species